UACAGAGGGGGCAAGCGUUGUUCGGAAUUACUGGGCGUAAAGGGCGCGUAGGCGGCCUGAUAAGUAGGGGGUGAAAUCCUGCGGCUUAACCGCAGGGCUGCCUUCUAAACUGUCGGGCUCGAGCACAGUAGAGGCAGGUGGAAUUCUCGGUGUAGCGGUGAAAUGCGUAGAUAUCGAGAGGAACACCUGCGGCGAAGGCGGGUUGCUGGGCUGACACUGACGCUGAGGCGCGAAAGCUAGGGGAGCGAACGGG
rnacentral:rRNA from 1 species